AUUCGUAUGGCGAAAUUGGUAGACGCGUGUGACUUAAAAUCACAUCCUCCGGGGUGAUAGUUCAAAUCUAUCUACGAAUA
rnacentral:tRNA from 1 species